AUUUUUGUGCAUACAAUAUUCACUAUGUUUUGUCCAAAAUUGUUUCAUUUAUAUGCAAGAUUUUUAAAAGAUUAUGGGUAUUUGAUGCAGCAGUGUGAAUAAAUGCAAACUAACUUGAAUCUUAAAGCUGUAUAUGACCUAGGGGUGUAUUGUGCAGCUCCACUUAUUAAACCCCAUUUCAUGUUUUUCCUCCUUACAUAAUCUCAAUGUUUUUUUUUUGUUUUUUUCAACCACGAUCCAGCCUGUACAUUCCGGUGGUUGUCAUAGCAACAGGGCAGCAUCCCUCUCCAUCCUUUGUCCAGUGUCUCCCCCGUUCGUUUGAGCUUCCCAGGCAGAGAGAGGCUUGGAUUCUGCAUGCAAAUAGAACCCCCUUAUUUCGGCUUCAAAAGCGAGGAAGCGGAAAGAUUUUACUUGGUGACUGAAUGUCAGCGAGCCGCUUUCACAGAUCGUCGCAGGGUGGUGAUCCCCACAUCCUGGGUUGGCGGUUACAGCACCCGAGUUGCAAACAAGGGGAACAGUGCUGCCAACAGAGAGCCAAGAGCAACAGUUUUGAAUCUUGAAAAAGAGAUGUUAUUUGAAAGCUGACAUUUCAUACUUUCAGGCACACAAAAAACAUGAGCACAGACGACAUGAUGGCUUAAGAAAAGUGGACACUGUGUCCUUCUUUUACCCUGUAAGCUUCACUGGGAAAACUGGCCUGACAGUAGCUUGUAGUGGUUAGAUUCAAGGUUUGGAUUCUGGAUCUUACACACCCUGGUCACUUUGCUUUUAACAUAAAUGGUAUUUCUGCCAAGCACACGGAACAACUUCUUUGCAUUCAGGCAUCUAGAUGUAGGUUCUUACCAGGACUAUUUAACUGGUAAGAAAUAUAAAAUAUCCAGAGUGGCAGUUGGUGGCAGACAAAAUGUCUUGAUAAUAUCAGAGAUGAAUAGGCUGGAGAUUAUAGAAACAGUAGCUCAAAAAACUUCCUGUCACAACUGAGUGGAAGUCCGUCUCUGAACACACACAUUGAACUUUGAAGCAGAAGGGAGACAACAGAAGAAAAACACAACAGAUGAUGCUCCUGUCUGCCUGGUCUGACGAGUCUUUGACGUAAACAACAUGAAAACAUGGAUCCACCCUUCCUUGUGUCAAUGCUUCAGACUGACUGUGGUAGCUCAAUAAUUUGGAAAAAUUAUCUUAGCAUAUUUCCUUAGAACACUCGGUCAUUGUUUGAAUGCUUUAGUCAUUUUAUGACCACAGUGUACCCACCUUCUAAUGGUUACGUCUGACAAGACAAUGCAUGACCUCACAAAGCUCAAAUCAUCUCAAACUGGUUUCUUGACAUGUGUUCACAGUGGCCAUCCUCACCAAAUUUGCAUCUGAUAGAGCAACUACAUCACUGGGACAUGGUGAAACGCUGAAUAUGCAUUAUGGAUGCACAGCUAAAACAUUUGAAGCAAUUAGGAGAUAAUAUGUCAACAAGGACUUAAAUAGAUAAGACAUGUUAUAGACACAUUUUUAAUUAUUUACUGCAAAGAAUUGAAGGCAAAAGAGAGUCAAACCUGUAACUAGAAAGAUGUGAUCACCUAGAGUUUAAUCUUUGUCAGAGUCUACAUUUAAUUUUGCUGUUUUUUUCCCUCCAAGGGUGAGUUUACAAUCUCCACCAUGACAUCAUCUGUUUUGAACCUGCACUGUAGAACGGUAGGCUAUAUUAGCUUGGAGCGCACUGUAAUGCCUGUUUGUUCAGGCACAUGUGUGUGCAGAUAGUCUGGGAAUUCAGCAAAGUCAUGUACACAACAAGUGAAGGGUAGAACAUGGUUUAUGAGUUAAAGAACAGCAGCAACAAAAAAAAGAUAGAGAACACUUGUUAGCUUCGGGCCAGCUGUCCAGAUCCUUACACAGGAUCCAGCCCUUCACUUUGAGAUUGGCUAGCUUGUUCCAGUGAGAGCCAAUCAGUGCACUGACUAACAUCUUUAUAGUGUGAAGCAGCUGGGAUCUAGGUGAAAGGUCUCAGAAACAAACUCAGUGGCCCUUCCCCCUGGAAGGGAGAGCAUAGCAGAAAUGGACGUUUAUGUCUCGUGCAAAUAUGGGAAAAAAAUGUUCUGAAAGUCCAAAACCAGCUAGCAGAUACAAGGACUGAGUACUCCUUGUAUCCAUUAAGAGUUUGUAUCACUUGAAGGUUAGAGUUUGUAUCACUCGAAAUCCCAUGUUAGAAAUACAGAUAUCUGUAAUUCUGAAAGUUAAAACCAGUAUUACAGAUGGCUCUGACAAAAUAAGUCAGAGCCAUCACCCAUAACAAUCAGUGUAAAGGAGUUUAACAGAGAACCGACAGGGAGAUUGUGCUCCGGCCAUAGCAUUGAAAGAGCCUAAUAUGAGUGCCUCACUAUCCAGUUUCCACCCACAGGAGAUGGAAGAAAAACCAUGAGAACAAAAAACUGCCGUUGAGCGGUUGGUUAGAAAUAUGCCAAGCUGAAACCACAAAAUAUAUUCUGCAAUUUGCAGACCAGCCUGUAUCUCUCUAGAUGGCUACUUGAAACCAGUUUUCUGUAUGUUUGUCAUGUCCAACAGUAUGGACGCUUCACUCAGCUUUGCUAAAAAAAAAAAAAACUAAAAAUAAAGUCUUAAUUUUCCAAAUCCUCUUCAUUUAAAAAAGUGAAUCUUGCCUCAUUUCACAGGUUUAUGCAAUGCAUCAUUAAAUCUUGCCAUCGGCAUGGCAAAUCCAAAAUAAAACAAUUUGAUACAAGACUCAAACACAUGUAUUUGUGAUAAAAAUAAAUGUUUUAAAUCUAUCAAUAAAAAUCACCAGGUUCAGUAAACUUGACGUUUUACAAAAUCAGGUGCAUUACAAUAUAUUGCAGUUAACAAAAGGAUAAAACUCCUUGAGGAAACUACAAAUGGCAUUAUGGAAAGAGCCACCACUUUAUAACAACUCAUGUCAGGGACAUCUACUAGUCUUUACAAAUUGACCAAAAUGUGCCAGAAUUUGAGGACAUCAAACAUCAUUAAAAAA